AACGAACGCUGGCGGCAUGCCUAACACAUGCAAGUCGAACGAGACCUUCGGGUCUAGUGGCGCACGGGUGCGUAACGCGUGGGAACCUGCCCUUAGGUUCGGAAUAACUCCCCGAAAGGGGUGCUAAUACCGGAUAAUGUCUUCGGACCAAAGAUUUAUCGCCUUUGGAUGGGCCCGCGUUGGAUUAGCUAGUUGGUAGGGUAAAAGCCUACCAAGGCGACGAUCCAUAGCUGGUCUGAGAGGAUGAUCAGCCACACUGGGACUGAGACACGGCCCAGACCCCUAGGGGGGGGAGCAGGGGGGAAUUUUGGAAAAUGGGCGAAAGCCUGACCCCGAAAUGCCGGGUGGGUGAUGAAGGCCUUAGGUUUGUAAAGCUUUUUUACCCGGGAUGAUAAUAACAGGACCGGGAGAAUAAGCCCCGGCUAACCCCGU
rnacentral:rRNA from 1 species